rnacentral:rRNA from 1 species
UAGGGAAUCUUCCACAAUGGACGCAAGUCUGAUGGAGCAACGCCGCGUGAGUGAAGAAGGUUUUCGGACCGUAAAGCUCUGUUGUUGGUGAAGAAGGAUAGAGGUAGUAACUGGCCUUUAUUUGACGGUAAUCAACCAGAAAGUCACGGCUAACUACGUGCCAGCAGCCGCGGUAAUACGUAGGUGGCAAGCGUUGUCCGGAUUUAUUGGGCGUAAAAGCGAGCGCAGGCGGAAGAAUAAGUCUGAUGUGAAAGCCCUCGGCUUAACCGAGGAAUUGCAUCGGAAACUGUUUUUCUUGAGUGCAGAAGAGGAGAGUAGAACUCCAUGUGUAGCGGUGGAAUGCGUAGAUAUAUGGAAGAAUACCAGUGGCGAAGGCGGCUCUCUGGUCUGCAACUGACGCUGAGGCUCGAAAAGCAUGGGUAGCGAACAGGAUUAGAUACCCUGGUAGUCCAUGCCGUAAAACGAUGAGUGCUAAGUGUUGGGAGGCUUCCGCCUCUCAGUGCUGCAG